rnacentral:rRNA from 1 species
CGUAUCACCCAAGACAACUUUACGGAGUUGACGAUUGACGGAGCGAAGCGACGUCAAAGCGUUCAUUAAAGUCGAGUUGGCUUAGGGAUACGUUCGUUGGGUAGGGGAGCGUUCUGUAAGCCUGUGAAGGUGUGUCGUGAGGCAUGCUGGAGGUAUCAGAAGUGCGAAUGCUGACAUAAGUAACGAUAAAGCGGGUGAAAAGCCCGCUCGCCGGAAGACCAAGGGUUCCUGUCCAACGUUAAUCGGGGCAGGGUGAGUCGACCCCUAAGGCGAGGCCGAAAGGCGUAGUCGAUGGGAAACGGGUUAAUAUUCCCGUACUUGGUGUUACUGCGAAGGGGGGACGGAGAAGGCUAUGUUGGCCGGGCGACGGUUGUCCCGGUUUAAGCGUGUAGGUGUGUGUUCCAGGUAAAUCCGGUUCACUUUAACACUGAGGCGUGACGACGAGGCACUACGGUGCUGAAGCAACAAAUGCCCUGCUUCCAGGAAAAGCCUCUAAGCAUCAGGUAACACGAAAUCGUACCCCAAACCGACACAGGUGGUCAGGUAGAGAAUACCAAGGCGCUUGAGAGAACUCGGGUGAAGGAACUAGGCAAAAUGGUGCCGUAACUUCGGGAGAAGGCAC